rnacentral:rRNA from 1 species
UCAAGCGACUAAGCGCAUAUGGUGGAUGCCUAGGCAGUAAGAGGCGAUGAAGGACGUAGUAGUCUGCGAUAAGCCCCGGCGAGCUGACAAACAAGCUUUGACCCGAGGAUUUCCGAAUGGGGAAACCCACUCUGUUUACAGAGUAUCCAUAACUGAAUACAUAGGUUAUGGAAGCGAACGCGGUGAACUGAAACAUCUAAGUAGCCGUAGGAAAAGAAAUCAACCGAGAUUCCCUGAGUAGCGGCGAGCGAACGGGGAACAGCCCAGUUACCAUCAAUCGAGCAAUCCUAAUAAAACAGUCUGGAAAGUCUGGCCAAAGAAGGUGAUAGCCCUGUAUAUGAAAGGUGAGCGAGAGGAGUAACGAAGAGUAGGACGGGGCACGUGAAACCUUGUCUGAACAUGGGGGGACCAUCCUCCAAGGCUAAAUACUACUUACUGACCGAUAGUGAACUAGUACCGUGAGGGAAAGGCGAAAAGAACCCCGGAGAGGGGAGUGAAAUAGAACCUGAAACCGUAUGCGUACAAGCAGUGGGAGCCUGGUCUUUAAAGCAUCUUUAAAGACGGCACCUUUGUUUGUUUUAUUGCAAUGUCAUUCCAAUGGGGUGGCAUAUCGAUUGAACAAAAGAGAGGGACCAUCUAAAUAAAGAGGGUGUUUUGAUGACCGGUUGACUGCGUACCUUUUAUAUAAUGGGUCAGCGAGUUGUUUUCAGUUGCAAGCUUAACCACUUAGGGGAGGCGUAGGGAAACCGAGUCCGAAUAGGGCGAUUUAGUAGCUGGGAGCAGACCCGAAACCAGGCGAUCUAUCCAUGGCCAGGGUGAAGGCAGGGUAAUACCUGCUGGAGGCCCGAACCGGGUAAUGUUGAAAAAUUAUCGGAUGAGUUGUGGAUAGGAGUGAAAGGCUAAUCAAGCCUGGAGAUAGCUGGUUCUCCUCGAAAGCUAUUUAGGUAGCGCCUCGUGUAUAACUGUAGGGGGUAGAGCACUGUUUCGGCUAGGGGGCCAUCCCGGCUUACCAAACCGAUGCAAACUCCGAAUACCUACAAGUUCAAUCACGGGAGACACACGGCGGGUGCUAACGUCCGUCGUGGAAAGGGAAACAACCCAGACCGCCAGCUAAGGUCCCCAAGUUAUAGCUAAGUGGGAAACGAAGUGGGAAGGCACAGACAGCCAGGAGGUUGGCUUAGAAGCAGCCAUCCUUUAAAGAAAGCGUAAUAGCUCACUGGUUUAGUCGGCCCGCGCGGAAGAUUUAACGGGGCUCAAGCUAUACACCGAAGCUGCGGAUGCAUAGAUUUAUCUAUGCAUGGUAGAGGAGCGUUCUGUAAGCCUGUGAAGGUGUGCUGUGAGGCAUGCUGGAGGUAUCAGAAGUGCGAAUGCUGACAUGAGUAACGAUAAUGCGGGUGAAAAACCCGCACGCCGAAAACCCAAGGUUUCCUACGCAACGUUAAUCGGCGGAGGGUGAGUCGGCCCCUAAGGCGAGACCGAAAGGUGUAGUCGAUGGGAAACUGGUUAAUAUUCCAGUACUUUGUGUUACUGCGAUGAGGGGACGGAGAAGGCUAGAUCUACCGGGCGUUGGUUGUCCCGGGGAAAGUAUGUAGGCAGAGAGCUUAGGCAAAUCCGGGCUCUUAAUGUCGAGAUACGAGACGACCGGUCUUUGUACCGGAAAGUGGUCGGUGCCAUGCUUCCAGGAAAAGCCUCUAAGCUUCAGGUAACACAGAACCGUACCGUAAACCAACACAGGUGGGCAGGGAGAGAAUCCUAAGGCGCUUGAGAAAACUCUGGUGAAGGAACUAGGCAAAUUGGUACCGUAACUUCGGGAGAAGGUACGCCUCUGCUGGUGAUGAGACUUGCUCUCUGAGCUGGUGGGGGUCGAAGUGACCAGGUGGCUGCGACUGUUUACUAAAAACACAGCACUCUGCAAACACGAAAGUGGACGUAUAGGGUGUGACGCCUGCCCGGUGCCGGAAGGUUAAUUGAUGGGGUUAGCUUCGGCGAAGCUCUUGAUCGAAGCCCCGGUAAACGGCGGCCGUAACUAUAACGGUCCUAAGGUAGCGAAAUUCCUUGUCGGGUAAGUUCCGACCUGCACGAAUGGCGUAACGAUGGCCACACUGUCUCCACCAGAGACUCAGUGAAAUUGAAAUCGCUGUUAAGAUGCAGCGUACCCGCGGCAAGACGGAAAGACCCCGUGCACCUUUACUAUAGCUUUACACUGAAUUUUGAAUAUGUUUGUGUAGGAUAGCUGGGAGGCUUUGAAGCGUGAUCGCUAGAUUGCGUGGAGCCAACCUUGAAAUACCAGCCUGAUAUGUUUGGAGUUCUAACCCAGGUCCAUUAUCUGGAUCGGGGACCGUGUAUGGUGGGUAGUUUGACUGGGGCGGUCUCCUCCUAAAGAGUAACGGAGGAGCGCAAUGGUACUCUCAGUACGGUCGGACAUCGUACGUUGCGUGCAAAGGCAUAAGAGUGCUUGACUGCGAGACAGACACGUCGAGCAGGGGCGAAAGCCGGUCUUAGUGAUCCGGUGGUUCUGUAUGGAAGGGCCAUCGCUCAACGGAUAAAAGGUACGCCGGGGAUAACAGGCUGAUUCCUCCCAAGAGUCCACAUCGACGGAGGAGUUUGGCACCUCGAUGUCGGCUCAUCACAUCCUGGGGCUGUAGCAGGUCCCAAGGGUAUGGCUGUUCGCCAUUUAAAGUGGUACGCGAGCUGGGUUUAGAACGUCGUGAGACAGUUCGGUCCCUAUCUGCCGUGGGCGUUGGAAAUUUGAGAAGAGCUGCUCCUAGUACGAGAGGACCGGAGUGGACGUAUCUCUGGUGUUCCGGUUGUCACGCCAGUGGCAUUGCCGGGUAGCUACAUACGGACAGGAUAACCGCUGAAAGCAUCUAAGCGGGAAGCCCCCUUCAAGAUCAGAUUUCCCUGGACCCUUGAGGUCCCUGAAGAGCCCUCGAAGACUACGAGGUUGAUAGGCUGGGUGUGGAAGCGUAGUAAUGCGUGAAGCUAACCAGUACUAAUUGCUCGUGCGGCUUGGCCAU